GGACUACCCGGGUAUCUAAUCCCGUUUGCUCCCCUGGCUUUCGCGCCUCAGCGUCAGGUGAGGUCCAGCAGGGCGCUUUCGCCACCGGCGUUCCUUCCGAUAUCAACGCAUUUCACCGCUCCACCGGAAGUUCCCCCUGCCCCUACCUCGCUCGAGCCCGCCAGUAUCUCGGGCACUUUUCCGGUUGGGCCGAAAGAUUUCACCCGAGACUUGGCGAGCCGCCUACGCGCCCUUUAAGCCCAGUGAUUCCGAACAACGUUCGCACGGUUCGUCUUACCGCGGCUGCUGGCAC
rnacentral:rRNA from 1 species